rnacentral:lncRNA from 1 species
CACCGUUUUGGCUAAAAAUCUUCUUUACUGUUCUACUGAAGAAAAAAAGUCACCUACAUCUUGAAUGACCUAAAAGUGAGUAAAUUAACAGCACAUUUUCAAUUUUGGGUGAACUAUCUCUUUAAUGUGAUUUAUUAUUAAUAGUAAUUUACUCCAUUGUUUCCUACCAUUGUACAUGAAAUGGAUAAACUUCUGGAUCUUCUUCCUUUCUCAUAAAAGAGCUUGGAGAGCAUGUUGUAGAAGCGCCAAAUGGUCCCGGGACGAAAGGCGAAGACCAGCCUCUGAAAUCUCCCAGUGAUGCUGAGAAUGAUGAAGACGAUUAUGUAAAUGAUGAGAUAGGACAGCAAUAUAAUGUAGCACCAUCAGAUAAUAAUGGUGCCGAGGAAAAAGGAAACACAGACAAGCUAGAGCUUGGAGAUCAGGAUGUAGAAGCGCCAAACGGUAAGAAAAAUAUUAUCAAUAAUAUAUAAUCUCACAAAAAUUCUAGAAAUAUCUAAAAUAUAUUCUCAUUGAACCUAGCCCUAACUGCUUGUCUUGAACCCAUCUGUAAUACAAUUAUUAAUUGAUAAAUUAUUGCUAACUAAACAGUAUCUGGCACAGUUGCUGGUUGAGCACCAAAGUGCCAGUUAGCAACCAACUUUUUAUAACUGUCAACAUAAUAUUAAAAAAGAUGGUAUUUAAUUGUAUGGCUAAUUGUUUAUUAAUUAUCAAGGUCCCGGGACAAAAGGCGAAG